rnacentral:rRNA from 1 species
GAUGAACGCUAGCGGGAGGCUUAACACAUGCAAGUCGAGGGGCAGCAUAGGGUAGCAAUACUCUGAUGGCGACCGGCAAACGGGUGAGUAACGCGUAUGCAACCUACCCUGUACAGGGGGAUAACCCGGAGAAAUUCGGACUAAUAUCCCGUAAUAAUAUCCGGAGGCAUCUUUGGAUAUUUAAAGUUCCGACGGUACGGGAUGGGCAUGCGUAACAUUAGCUGGUUGGUAAGGUAACGGCUUACCAAGGCUAUGAUGUUUAGGGGUCCUGAGAGGGUGGUCCCCCACACUGGUACUGAGACACGGACCAGACUCCUACGGGAGGCAGCAGUGAGGAAUAUUGGUCAAUGGGCGCAAGCCUGAACCAGCCAUCCCGCGUGCAGGAAGACGGCCCUAUGGGUUGUAAACUGCUUUUCCAGGGAGAGAAACUUACGCACGCGUUGCGUGACUGACGGUACCCUGGGAAUAAGCAUCGGCUAACUCCGUG